CCUUACUGCUAUCGGGGUGGGACUAAGACAUGCGAGUCACGUGUCUCUAGCUAUGUUGAGACACGGCAGACGGCUCAGUAACGCGUGGCUAACCUGCCCUCAGGACGAAGAUAACCCCGGGAAACUGGGGAUAAUAUUCGAUAGGUGAGGAUGUCUGGAAUGACUUCUCUCCUAAAGGGCCUAGAUACAUGCUUCUAUGUCGCCUGGGGAUGGGGCCGCGCCCGAUCAGGUUGUUGGUGAGGUAACGGCUCACCAAGCCUAUAACCGGUACGGGCCGUGAGAGCGGUAGCCCGGAGAUGGGUACUGAGACAAGGACCCAGGCCCUACGGGGCGCAGCAGUCGCGAAAACUCCGCAAUGCACGAAAGUGUGACGGGGCUACCCCGAGUGCCAUCCGCUGAGGAUGGCUUUUCUUUGGUAUAACUAGCCAUUGGAAUAAGGAGAGGGCAAGACUGGUGUCAGCCGCCGCGGUAAUACCAGCUCUCCGAGUGGUAGGGAUGAUUAUUGGGCUUAAAGCGUCCGUAGCCUGCUUAGCAAGUUUCCUGUUAAACUCAGCGACUCAAUCGUUGGAUCGCGGGAAAUACUACUAGGCUAGGAGGCGGGAGAGGUCAACGGUACUUCUGGGGUAGGGGUGAAAUCCUAUAAUCCCGGGAGGACCACCAGUGGCGAAGGCUGUUGACUAGAACGCGCUCGACGGUGAGGGACGAAAGCUGGGGGAGCGAACCGGAUUAGAUACCCGGGUAGUCCCAGCUGUAAACGAUGCGAGCUAGGUGUUGGAAUGGCUACGGGCCAUUUCAGUGCCGCAGGGAAGCCAUUAAGCUCGCCGCCUGGGGAGUACGGCCGCAAGGCUGAAACUUAAAGGAAUUGGCGGGGGAGCACCACAAGGCGUGAAGCUUGCGGUUCAAUUGGAUUCAACGCCGGGA
rnacentral:rRNA from 1 species